rnacentral:rRNA from 1 species
AUUGAACGCUGGCGGCAGGCCUAACACAUGCAAGUCGAACGAGUGGCGGACGGGUGAGUAAUGUCUGGGAAACUGCCUGAUGGAGGGGGAUAACUACUGGAAACGGUAGCUAAUACCGCAUACCAUCGGAUGUGCCCAGAUGGGAUUAGCUAGUAGGGGGGGUAAAGGCUCACCUAGGCGACGAUCCCUAGCUGGUCUGAGAGGAUGACAAGCAAAACUGGAAAUGAGAAACGGUCAAGACGCCUACGGGAGGCAGAGGUGGGGAAGAUUGCACAAUGGGAGCAAGCCUGAUGCAGCCAGGCCGCGUGUAUGAAGAAGGCCUUAGGGUGGUAAAGUACUUUCAGCGGGGAGGCGUUACCCGCAGAAGAAGCACCGGCUAACUCCGUGCCAGCCGCCGCGGUAAUUC